AGAAUGGCGUGAACCCGGGAGGCAGCGCUUGCAGUGAGCUGAGAUAGCGCCACUGCACUCCAGCCUGGGCGACAGAG
rnacentral:snRNA from 1 species